rnacentral:misc_RNA from 1 species
GGGUAACACACCGAUUCUUUGUCUCUGUAAGUAGACUUUCUCUCUCUAGAAGCUUCUCUUUCUCUCUUUUGCAGUUCGAGUUUUUUUUUUCUCUCUUCUGUUGCAGCGAUGGUGAAGGGACCUGGACUUUACUCCGAUAUCGGCAAAAAAGCUAGAGAUCUUCUGUACAGGGACUAUGUCAGUGACCAUAAGUUCACCAUCACUACGUUCAGCACAACGGGAGUGGCUAUUACCUCAUCUGGUCUGAAGAAAGGUGAACUAUUCUUGGCGGAUGUUAGCACCCAGCUGAAAAACAAAAACAUUACAACUGAUGUAAAAGUGGACACGAAUUCCAAUCUUUACACCACCAUCACUGUUGAUGAACCUGCACCAGGACUCAAGACAAUUUUCAGCUUUGUUGUACCAGACCAGAAGUCUGGAAAGGUAGAGCUCCAGUACUUGCAUGAGUAUGCUGGGAUCAACACUAGCAUUGGACUUACAGCAAGUCCUCUUGUCAACUUCUCUGGCGUUGCUGGAAACAACAUUGUUGCUUUGGGCACUGAUGUAUCAUUUGACACUGCCACAGGCAAUUUCACAAAAUGCAAUGCUGGUCUGAGUUUUUCUUCGUCUGAUCUGAUUGCUUCCUUAGCAUUGAAUGACAAGGGUGAUACUGUCAGUGCUUCCUACUACCACACCGUGAAGCCAGUGACAAACACAGCUGUUGGUGCAGAGUUGACUCACAGCUUCUCAAGCAAUGAGAACACACUCACCAUUGGGACACAGCAUUUGUUGGACCCAUUGACCACAGUGAAGGCUCGCGUUAACAGCUAUGGUAAGGCAAGUGCUCUCAUUCAACACGAGUGGCGACCAAAAUCCCUCUUCACAAUAUCAGGUGAAGUUGACACUAGGGCAAUUGAAAAGAGCGCUAAGAUCGGGUUGGCUGUAGCCCUCAAGCCAUGAGUGUGUUACUACCUUACAGUAAAGUGAGUGAAGCUGUGUCAUUUUGUAUGAUCCAGAGUAAUAAAUUAGAUAGAUUUGUUUCAGCACAUUAUCCUUCUGCGCCGGUGAGAAUAACCUUAAGCUGGUAAUGCGAACUCAUGAAUUUUUGCUAAGAUCCAUCCUAAAUGUUGAUUUUGAGGGGACUGGUUUUUAACCUUUCGCCUGGGCUUCAUCAUUCGCCUAAGUAAUUAAUCUUUCUUCCAAUUGAUACUUUGUAGUCAUAAUUAAGAUGAAUCGGAAAGUCUCUCUGCA